rnacentral:rRNA from 1 species
UUAAGUUAAUAAGGGCGCGUGGUGGAUGCCUUGGCACUAGGAGCCGAUGAAGGACGUGACUAACUACGAUAAGCUUUGGUGAGCGGUAAGUACGCUAAGACCCAGAGAUUUCCGAAUGGGGAAACCCAACUCGCAAAGAGUUGUCAAUAGUUGAAUACAUAGAUUAUUGACGGAACACGCUGUGAACUGAAACAUCUCAUUAGCAGCAGGAGCAGAAAGAAAAAUCGAUUCCCCAAGUAGCGGCGAGCGAAACGGGAAGAGCCCAAACCAGAGUGCUUGCAUUCUGGGGUUGUAGGACUGAUAAAUAGAAGUUACAAAAGUGUUUUAUAGCAGAACAAGUUGGGAAGCUUGGCUAAAGAGGGUGAUAGCCCCGUACGCGAAAUAAAGCACACUUCUUUCAGGAUCCUGAGUACGGCCGGACACGUGAAAUCCGGUCGGAAUCUGCGGGGACCAUCCCGUAAGGCUAAAUACUCCCUAGUGACCGAUAGUGAACCAGUACCGUGAGGGAAAGGUGAAAAGCACCCCGGAAGGGGAGUGAAAUAGUUCCUGAAACCACGACGCCUACAAGAAGUCAGAGCCCGUUAAUGGGUAAUGGCGUGCCUUUUGUAGAAUGAACCGGCGAGUUACGGUAUCGUGCGAGGUUAAGGUGGAAAGACCGGAGCCGCAGCGAAAGCGAGUGUGAAUAGCGCGAAUAGUACGAUGCUGUAGACCCGAAACCAGGUGACCUACCCAUGGUCAGGAUGAAGGUGAGGUAAAACUUACUGGAGGUCCGAACCGGUGCAUGUUAAAAAAUGCUCGGAUGAACUGUGGGUAGCGGUGAAAUUCCAAACGAACCUGGAGAUAGCUGGUUCUCUCCGAAAUAGCUUUAGGGCUAGCCUCAUUAUAAGCAUACUGGAGGUAGAGCACUGUUAAGCCUAGGGGCCCAUCUCGGGUUACCAAAGUUUGAUAAACUCCGAAUGCCAGCUAUGUAUGAAUGGGAGUCAGACGAUGAGUGAUAAGAUCCACCGUCGAAAGGGGAACAGCCCAGAUCGCCAGUUAAGGUCCCUAAAUAUAUGUUAAGUGGAAAACGAUGUGAUAGUGCAUAGACAACUAGGAUGUUGGCUCAGAAGCAGCCACCAUUUAAAGAGUGCGUAAUAGCUCACUAGUCGAGUGCCAUUGCGCGGAAAAUGUACCGGGGCUAAACAUAUUACCGAAACUGCGGGUGUGCGUAAAGCACGCGAUAGGAGAGCGUUGUAAGGGCAAAGAAGGUAGACUGUAAGGACUACUGGAGCGCUUACAAGUGAGAAUGCCGGUAUGAGUAGCGAAAGACAGGUGAGAAUCCUGUCCACCGAAUGACUAAGGUUUCCUGGGGAAGGCUCGUCCUCCCAGGGUUAGUCGGGACCUAAGGCGAGGCUGAGAAGCGUAGUCGAUGGCUAACAGGUUGAGAUUCCUGUACCAGUAGUAAUGCGUUUGACCAAUGGAGGGACGCAGGAGGCUAACAGAAGCGCACUGAUGGAAAUGUGCGUGCAAGCAGUAAGUUUGGGAAAGAGUGAAAUGCUUUUUUCUGAUAAGAACAAGCUGUGAUGCGGAUCGAAAUAAAGUAGAGAAGUCUGUGAUGUCACACUGCCGAGAAAAGCUUCUAGGGAGUAUUACACUGCCCGUACCGCAAACCGACACAGGUAGUCGAGUGGAGAACACUAAGGUGAGCGAGAGAACCCUCGUUAAGGAACUCGGCAAAAUGACCCCGUAACUUCGGGAGAAGGGGUGCUCAUUGUAAAAGAUGAGCCGCAGUGAAUAGGCCCAGGCGACUGUUUAUCAAAAACACAGGUUUCUGCAAAAUCGUAAGAUGAAGUAUAGGGGCUGACGCCUGCCCGGUGCUGGAAGGUUAAAAGGAGUGCUUAGCUUCGGCGAAGGUACGAAUUGAAGCCCCAGUAAACGGCGGCCGUAACUAUAACGGUCCUAAGGUAGCGAAAUUCCUUGUCGGGUAAGUUCCGACCCGCACGAAAG